UCCCUUCCGUCAGCGCUUGCUCCCUUAUAUACCUGGGAGCCCAUGAGGUCAAUCCUCAUUGGCUGAGCCUGUUACUUCCUGCUCAGCCAGCCAAUAGAAGCCUGAGUCUCCGACGGCCUGGGCCUGCUCUUCCUGGUCAAAUUAUAUAAACAGUGUGAGAGAGAUUCUGGUCAUGAUUCACAAAGCUCAAAUUGAUACAGAAAAUUAAAACCCCAUCUUCUAGAACUACAUCUGAAGUUCAAAUCAACAUGAAGGACACAAAACCCAAGACUUGAUCAGUUGGCUGCAUUUACGUGUAAUACAUCUUAGUUUAAUAUGUAUUGAAUUUUAAUAUGACAGAGAACUUGACUUUGGAAUCUGAAGAGAACUGAAGUGCAUUUGCUGCUUGUACUGUGACAGCCAGCAUUUCAUUUCCUGGAAGAAUCUGCAAUCACUCUGUUCAAGGGCUGCUAAGAAUGGAGACUAAUUGUGGUGACAAGGCAUCAUCAAGUUUGGCACUUCCACAGCAAGUAAAGUUCUGCUCUUUCACCCAGAGACCUAAAGACUUUAAAAUACCUUUUGGAAAAGCCCACAGCUCUGUCUCAUAUAUUUGACUCCUCAGGAAGAUCAUUUUCAGUGAACAAAAAGGUUUGGGAAGGAAGGAAAACAAAGUUCACUCAUGCCUUAACACAGCUAAUGUUGUACAAAGAAAUUCAAAGGAUGGAUAAACGAUCCCAUCAGCAGCUGGGGUCUCCAAGGGCACCUUGGGGGUCAGUCUCAAGGGGUGAUACAGCUGCACAUCAGGCUGAGAUACAUCUGAGCACUAAAGACUCUUUGUCUUGCUUCAGUGUACAAAUGCAUGAGUGAGAAGAUACUAAAACACAGUAACAAUUUAGGCACAAGAAAAGAACAGAAUACAAGAAUUCUGUGCACCAGAAAUGUGAAUUAAAAACUCGAGAGUGUAAAAUGCAGUGUUAUACAGAUGAGGGCAGGACUCUUCUACCAACAUGUGUUCUUACUGUGAAGGAGGAACACCCACCUCUCCUGCAACCGGAUGAGUCAGACAGCACCCAAGAGCCUCAUUCCAGGAAUCUGGCCCACUGAGAAACCCAGAAAAGAAGCACAGAGAACUGACAUUUUCUUGACAAAAGGAAAAGCACAAUGAGCAAACACUGUGGACAAAGUCCACCCUGAGCAUUGAACAAAAGGCCCUAAAAUUGCCAUGGGCUCCACUUCAACUGUUUGCCUUAAUGAACUAUACAGGAAACAACACAUUGAAAAGCAAGAACCAAAAGCUCAACUUCUGCAUGAAUACAGUACUGCCUGAACUGACAACGUGGUUAAGUAUAAGCGCCAGAGGACUUUAACUCUGCAGUGAUUUCACUUCUCUUAAAUAUACCAAGACAAUAACUGCUGAGCAAACAAAUAAGCAAUGAAUAGAAACAUCCAAAACAAAGAAGUCCUCUCUCACAGCUUACCUUCACCUUUUCUCAGUCAAACCCUCUAAUUCAACACAAUACCAAACAUCCCAGCUAAUGUAAGCUGUACUUGCUGAGGCUCACAUUGCACUUCCACCUCUACCAACUAAUUAAGCUACGGGUAAUUAAAGAGCUCUUCCAUACACGUCUAGUUACAACCUUCAUAAAUAUGCAAAGUGCAAAAAGCUUACAAAUUUGCUUUCACUACACUACCAACUCAGACUGCCUGAAUUAACCAGUUAUGUACUUGGCAUUACUGCUUUGUUAACUGUCUGUUGCCGCACCCAUACACAUUUUAAUAAACUGUCCUCUGGAGCACUUUAUUUACGGCUUCCAUUAUUUCAUUCCCUCAAAUUCAUCACAUUUGAUCUUGUGAAGUCAGUUAACUGGGGCAGACUGCACUCAUGAACAACCCAAUGCAAACACAGAAACUGGAACAUACAUUUAUAACAUAGC